AGUGAACGCUGGCGGUAGGCCUAACACAUGCAAGUCGAACGGCAGCACAGUAAGAGCUUGCUCUUACGGGUGGCGAGUGGCGGACAGGUGAGGCAUACAUCGGAAUCUACUUUUUCGUGGGGGAUAACGUAGGGAAACUUACGCUAAUACCGCAUACGACCUACGGGUGAAAGCAGGGGAUCUUCGGACCUUGCGCGAUUGAUUGAGCCGGGGUCGGAUUAGCUAGUUGGCGGGGUAAAGGCCCACCAAGGCGACGAUCCGUAGCCGGUCUGAGAGGAUGAACGGCCACACUGGGACUGAGACACGGUCCAGACUCCUACGGGAGGCAGCAGUGGGGAAUAUUCGGCAAUGGGCGAAAGUCUGACCGAGCCACGCCGCGUGAGUGAAGAAGGCCUUCGGGUUGUAAAGCCCUGUUAGUGGGGAAGAAAAGCCGUCUGGUGAACCGCCAGAAGUCUUAAGGGACCCAAAAAAUAAGGCCCGGGCUAACUCCGU
rnacentral:rRNA from 1 species